UUUAGUUAGAGUUUGAUCCUAGCUCAGGAUGAACGCUGGCGGCGUGGAUAAGGCAUGCAAGUCGAACGGAUUUUCUUGAAUUGAGAUUGAGAUUAUAUCAAGGUCAAUUUUCUCUGAAAGUUAGUGGCGAACGAGGUAGUAAUACGCAGGAACAUCCCCCAAAGUCUUGAAUAAUUCAUCGAAAGGUGGACUAAUACAAGAUGGUCUCGCAAGAGUAAAGUUUUAACGCUUUGGGAAUGGCCUGUGCGAUAUCAGCUAGUUGGUAGUGUAAUGGACUACCAAGGCUAUGACGUCUAGGGGAGGUGAGAGCCUGACCCCCACCGAUGGUACUGAGACACGGACCAUACACCUACGGGUGGCUGCAGU
rnacentral:rRNA from 1 species